rnacentral:lncRNA from 1 species
AGAAGGUGUGGUGAAGCACCCCACUGUGGCUGCCGUGGUUCAUUUUAAGCAAUCACCAAUAGACCCUGUUCAACAAGUGAGGAAGCUCGAUGUUCUCCCUAAUGAAGUUGGUGCCCGGUUCUGCAGACUGCCGAGGAGAGGGUGCCGAGACCCUCGGGAGUUUCCCGCUCACUCACAUGUGGCCUCCAGAGAAACAGCCAGGCUCCCCACUGCUCCUGGGGUGCUACAGACCUGGACACAGCCAUGCUUGUAGUCUAGCUGCACAUAACCGACAGUGACAUGAGGGUGCAGGAGGGAGGUCUGAGGAAGAGCCACACGGGAAGAGAGCUCCAAGCCCACCCGCUUCCCUCGUCUUCAGCUCUUCCAGGCCCAUAGGCUUCCUUCUUAAGGCCAAAACCAUACUAGCUGCUGGCCAGAGCCCUGCCGCUGAGUAGAGCCGACUCACCUCAGGGCAGGGUCCUGUUUCCUGUGUGAACCUUCCCUCUAAGUCCGGCAGACACGGCCCCAGUCAUGUCCAUCAGGAUACCCAGUGGCAGGACUAGAAUGUGACCUUGUCCCAGCUCACACUGGGGUGGCUCCCCCCAUGGUCAGAGACCACGGCGCCAUCUUGCUUCAGCCCUGCAGUUGGUUUUCAUUUUUCUCACAUCAGUCGCAGCGUUAUUUCUACACGAGGGCGUGAUUCUUGGAAAGAUUUUUCCUUGCCAGACUAUAUCUAUUAAAAAUGGGGACUGUGUCCCCUGAGUUUGUGCUCUUUAGGGCAUAGCAUGUGGCCCAGGGUUCCUCUUGUAUAGCUGACAUGCUGCGGGGUGCUUCUGUGUACCCCCUCAUCCAUCUACACAGUAAGCCUUUGAGGCAGCUGGAACCUUUGAUUCCAGUCAGUUUGGUGACUGUGACACAGGCUAGUAACCAGCUUCAUGAAGGUCAGACCCAGCUAAGGAGGGACACUGGUUUGAAUGCAGGUCUCACCUCAAAGUCGUCUUCCUGAUGUCUGGCUGCCUGUCAGCAAUGAGUAACCCAGCCAGUAACCGAACACAAACAAGUGACACUUUGUCAUUUC